UCCCAUAUCGGUUAUUCGCUGGAUAAAUCUUGGUUACUUAUACUAGAUCAAGGAAUCUAAGUAAUAUCUUCGGGUUAGCCAUUUUGGGUGAGGUUCUGGGUUAUUACAUUUAGCAUAUUCAUGCUAGGUAGCGAAAGAAGCAUGCAUCAUGCAUCAAGUUCUUGCAACUUCAGGUUAUGUCUUGAGAGUUGGAUCAAAAAUUGCAGCUAUUGAAUUUGAACCACAUUUCAGGUGUUAAUUAGGAAAAGCCAAACCUGUUGUUGUACGUCUCACUUCACAAGAUACGUCUCGGUGUCGCGACAAGCAUUGAAUUUAUGGAAGUCCCUGCAAGGAUGGGAGAGCACAAGCU
rnacentral:lncRNA from 1 species